GGAUUAGAUACCCUGGUAGUCCACACCGUAAACGCUGUCUACUAGCUGUUUGGACUUUCAUUAGACUGAGUAGCGAAGCUAACGCGCUAAGUAGACCGCCUGGGGAGUACGGCCGCAAGGUUAAAACUCAAAUGAAUUGACGGGGGCCCGCACAAGCGGUGGAGCAUGUGGUUUAAUUCGAUGCAACGCGAAGAACCUUACCUACACUUGACAUGCUGAGAAGUUUUUAGAGAUAGAAACGUGCCUUCGGGAACUCAGACACAGGUGCUGCAUGGCUGUCGUCAGCUCGUGCCG
rnacentral:rRNA from 1 species